rnacentral:rRNA from 1 species
GAUGAACGCUGGCGGCAUGCUUUACACAUGCAAGUCGAACGGUAACAGGCCGCAAGGUGCUGACGAGUGGCGAACGGGUGAGUAAUGCAUCGGAACGUGCCCAGUCGUGGGGGAUAACGCAGCGAAAGCUGUGCUAAUACCGCAUACGAUCUAUGGAUGAAAGCGGGGGACCGUAAGGCCUCGCGCGAUUGGAGCGGCCGAUGUCAGAUUAGGUAGUUGGUGGGGUAAAGGCCUACCAAGCCGACGAUCUGUAGCUGGUCUGAGAGGACGACCAGCCACACUGGGACUGAGACACGGCCCAGACUCCUACGGGAGGCAGCAGUGGGGAAUUUUGGACAAUGGGCGCAAGCCUGAUCCAGCAAUGCCGCGUGCAGGAAGAAGGCCUUCGGGUUGUAAACUGCUUUUGUACGGAACGAAACGGCUCUGGUUAAUACCUGGGGCUAAUGACGGUACCGUAAGAAUAAGCACCGGCUAACUACGUGCCAGCCGCCGCGGUAACAC